UAUACUAAAAUAAAAAUCUUAAUAAAAUAUUAAAAUAGAAUCUUUUAUUAAAUUCUAGUCAAAUUCUAACCAAAUCUUAAUUAAAUCCUAAUCAAAUUCUAACCAAAUCCUAACCAAAUCUUAACCAAAAUCUAAUCAAAUCCUAAUCAAAUUCUAACCAAAAUCCAAUCAAAUCCUAACCAAAUCCUAAUUAAAUCUUAACAAAAUCCUAAUCAAAUCCUAGUCAAUCAUAAAUAAAUCCUAAUAAAAUCCUAAACAAAUUCUAAUCAAAUCCUAAUAAAAUCUUAAUUAAAUCCUAACCAAAACCUAAUCAAAUUCUGACCAAAUCUUAAUCAAAUCCUAACCAAAACCUAAUCAAAUUCUGACCAAAUCUUAAUCAAAUCCUAACCAAAUCCUAACCAAAUCUUAAAAAAAUCUUAAUCAAAUCCUAAACAAAUCCUAAUCGAAUCCUAAACAUAUCCUAAUCAAACUCUAAAUAAACCUUAGUAAUUCCUAUAGCAGAUUUAAAUCUUAAUAA
rnacentral:lncRNA from 1 species